AAUGAAGCUGCUCUUUAACAAGCCCCUAUCACCCUCAGCUGUGUCAAUUGAACCAACCUGGUGCGUGUGUACAAAAGGGCGUCGGCAUGUAACUGAACAAACAGGCUGUGUUUAAUUAGGGCCGUCCUUUCUGGCUUUUCAGUUCAGAUGCAACACUGUUUCCUUGUGUGAGUUCCACUGGAAUCGGGCAGGUCCUGCUGAAGAUGGCUACAAUUGCAGCCUUGCUUAUUCUAACAGUAUUGGCUGCCUCUUUAACAGAUGCUACAGAAACUGGUAAGAUAUAUUCUUUUCUGUAGGGCAGUGCUGUAGGGACGAGGGUGUACC